AUACGGAGGGUGCAAGCGUUAAUCGGAUUUACUGGGCGUAAAGCGCGCGUAGGCGGUUUAGUAAGUCGGGUGUGAAAGCCCCGGGCUCAACCUGGGAACUGCAUUCGAUACUGCUAGACUAGAGUAUGGUAGAGGAAAGUGGAAUUCCACAUGUAGCGGUGAAAUGCGUAGAUAUGUGGAGGAACAUCAGUGGCGAAGGCGACUUUCUGGAUCAAUACUGACGCUGAGGUGCGAAAGCGUGGGGAGCAAACAGGAUUAGAAACCCCGGUAGUCC
rnacentral:rRNA from 1 species